UACGUAGGGUGCGAGCGUUGUCCGGAAUUAUUGGGCGUAAAGGGCUCGUAGGCGGUUUGUCGCGUCGGGAGUGAAAACCCAGGGCUUAACCCUGGGGGCUUCCGAUACGGGCAGACUAGAGGUAUGCAGGGGAGAACGGAAUUCCUGGUGUAGCGGUGAAAUGCGCAGAUAUCAGGAGGAACACCGGUGGCGAAGGCGGUUCUCUGGGCAUUACCUGACGCUGAGGAGCGAAAGUGUGGGGAGCGAACAGG
rnacentral:rRNA from 1 species